GUAGGGAAUAUUGCGCAAUGGACGAAAGUCUGACGCAGCGACGCCGCGUGAAUGAUGAAGGCCUUAGGGUCGUAAAGCUCUGUUGAAUGGGAAGAAAAAAAUGACGGUACCAUUCGAGGAAGGACCGGCUAACUUCGUGCCAGCAGCCGCGGUAAUACGAGGGGUCCUAGCGUUGUUCGGAAUCAUUGGGCGUAAAGGGUGUGUAGGUGGCCAUGUAAGUCAGGUGUGAAAGCCCCGGGCUCAACCCGGGAAGUGCACUUGAUACUGCGUGGCUUGAGUACCGAAGAGGGUAGUGGAAUUCCAGGUGUAGUGGUGAAAUACGUAGAUAUCUGGAGGAACACCGGUGACGAAGGCGGCUACCUGGUCGAGUACUGACACUGAGACACGAAAGCAUGGGGAUCAAACAGGAUUAGAAACCCCAGUAGUCC
rnacentral:rRNA from 1 species